rnacentral:rRNA from 1 species
AUUGAACGCUGGCGGCAGGCUUAACACAUGCAAGUCGAGCGGGGUGAUGGUGCUUGCACUAUCACUUAGCGGCGGACGGGUGAGUAAUGCUUAGGAAUCUGCCUAUUAGUGGGGGACAACAUCUCGAAAGGGAUGCUAAUACCGCAUACGUCCUACGGGAGAAAGCAGGGGAUCACUUGUGACCUUGCGCUAAUAGAUGAGCCUAAGUCGGAUUAGCUAGUUGGUGGGGUAAAGGCCUACCAAGGCGACGAUCUGUAGCGGGUCUGAGAGGAUGAUCCGCCACACUGGGACUGAGAGACGGCCCAGACGCCUACGGGAGGCAGCAGUGGGGAAUAUUGGGCAAUGGGGGGAACCCUGAUCCAGCCAUGCCGCGUGUGUGAAGAAGGCCUUAUGGUUGUAAAGCACUUUAAGCGAGGAGGAGGCUCUUUUGGUUAAUACCCAAGAUGAGUGGACGUUACUCGCAGAAUAAGCACCGGCUAACUCUGUGCCAGCCGCCGCGGUAA